UAGGGAAUCUUCCGCAAUGGACGAAAGUCUGACGGAGCAACGCCGCGUGAGUGAAGAAGGAUUUCGGUUCGUAAACUCUGUUGUUAGGGAAGAAAAAAUGUAUAGUAACUAUAUACAAAAGAGACGGUACCUAACCAGAAAGCCACGGCUAACUACGUGCCAGCAGCCGCGGUAAUACGUAGGUGGCAAGCGUUGUCCGGAAUUAUUGGGCGUAAAGCGCGCGCAGGUGGUUUAGAAAGUCUGAUGUGAAAGCCCACGGCUCAACCGUGGAGGGUCAUUGGAAACUAAUAAACUUGAGUGCAGGAGAGAAAAGUGGAAUUCCUAGUGUAGCGGUGAAAUGCGUAGAGAUUAGGAGGAACACCGGUGGCGAAAGCGGCUUUUUGGCCUGCAACUGACACUGAGGCGCGAAAGCGUGGGGAGCAAACAGG
rnacentral:rRNA from 1 species